ACGCUCGACACCUAUGGGAGGCAGCAGUCGGGAAUAUUGCGCAAUGGAGGAAACUCUGACGCAGUGACGCCGCGUAUAGGAAGAAGGUUUUCGGAUUGUAAACUAUUGUCGUUAGGGAAGAAAAAGGACAGUACCUAAGGAGGAAGCUCCGGCUAACUACGUGCCAACAGCCGCGGUAAUCUGAGCGGGCUGGCAAGGC
rnacentral:rRNA from 1 species